rnacentral:misc_RNA from 1 species
CCGAGUUUACAACACCCAAACCCCUGUGAACAUACCUAUACGUUGCCUCGGCGGAUCAGCCCGCGCCCCGUAAAAAGGGACGGCCCGCCCGAGGACCCCUAAACUCUGUUUUUAGUGGAACUUCUGAGUAAAACAAACAAAUAAAUCA